UACGUAGGGAGCAAGCGUUGUCCGGAUUCACUGGGCGUAAAGGGUGCGUAGGCGGCUUUGUAAGUCAGAGGUGAAAUCUCACGGCUUAACCGUGAAACUGCCUUUGAUACUGCAGAUCUUGAGUUUGGGAGAGGUUGAUGGAAUUCCAGGUGUAGCGGUGAAAUGCGUAGAUAUCGGGAGGAACACCUGUGGCGAAAGCGGCGCACUGGACCACAACUGACGCUGAGGCGCGAAAGCUAGGGGAGCAAACAGG
rnacentral:rRNA from 1 species